GAUGAACGCUAGCUACAGGCUUAACACAUGCAAGUCGAGGGGCAGCAUUUUUAUAGCAAUAUAAAAGAUGGCGACCGGCGCACGGGUGAGUAACACGUAUCCAACCUGCCGAUAACUCGGGGAUAACCCUUCGAAAGAAGGCCUAAUACCCGAUGGCAUAUCCCUUCCGCCUGGUGGGGAUAUUAAAGAACUUCGGUUAUCGAUGGGGAUGCGUUCCAUUAGCUUGUUGGCGGGGUAACGGCCCACCAAGGCUUCGAUGGAUAGGGGUUCUGAGAGGAAGGUCCCCCACAUUGGAACUGAGACACGGUCCAAACUCCUACGGGAGGCAGCAGUGAGGAAUAUUGGUCAAUGGACGAGAGUCUGAACCAGCCAAGUAGCGUGAAGGAUGAAGGUCCUAUGGAUUGUAAACUUCUUUUAUACGGGAAUAAAGUGCAGUAUGCAUACUGUUUUGUAUGUACCGUAUGAAUAAGGAUCGGCUAACUCCGUGCCAGCAGCCGCGGUAAUACGGAGGAUCCGAGCGUUAUCCGGAUUUAUUGGGUUUAAAGGGAGUGUAGGCGGAUGCUUAAGUCAGUUGUGAAAGUUUGCGGCUCAACCGUAAAAUUGCAGUUGAUACUGGGCGUCUUGAGUACAGUAGAGGCAGGCGGAAUUCGUGGUGUAGCGGUGAAAUGCUUAGAUAUCACGAAGAACUCCGAUUGCGAAGGCAGCCUGCU
rnacentral:rRNA from 1 species